rnacentral:rRNA from 1 species
UACGUAGGGUGCAAGCGUUGUCCGGAAUUAUUGGGCGUAAAGAGCUCGUAGGCGGUCUGUCGCGUCGGAUGUGAAAACCCAGGACUCAACCCUGAGCCUGCAUUCGAUACGGGCAGACUAGAGUUCGGUAGGGGAGACUGGAAUUCCUGGUGUAGCGGUGAAAUGCGCAGAUAUCAGGAGGAACACCGGUGGCGAAGGCGGGUCUCUGGGCCGAUACUGACGCUGAGGAGCGAAAGCGUGGGGAGCGAACAGG